rfam:Triticum aestivum genome assembly, contig: Triticum_aestivum_CS42_TGACv1_scaffold_031326_1BL
AUUCUACUCCCUCCGUUGCACAAUACAUGCCUUCUAUUUGUCAAAAUAUAUAUGUAUCUAGACAUGUUUUAGUAUAUAGGUACAUCCAUUUUUGGACAAAUGGAAGUCAAGUAUUUUGGAACAGAUGGAGUACACA